rnacentral:rRNA from 1 species
UACAGAGGGUGCGAGCGUUAAUCGGAAUUACUGGGCGUAAAGCGCGCGUAGGCGGGCAUCUAAGUCGGAUGUGAAAUCCCCGGGCUUAACCUGGGAACUGCAUUCGAUACUGGGUGUCUAGAGUAUGGUAGAGGAAAGUGGAAUUCCCGGUGUAGCAGUGAAAUGCGUAGAUAUCGGGAGGAACACCAGUGGCGAAGGCGGCUUUCUGGACCAAUACUGACGCUGAGGCGCGAAAGCGUGGGGAGCAAACAGG